rnacentral:ncRNA from 1 species
CGGCUACACUGCGGGCGCCGCGCUUUGCCGGAUCCCAUCUGGUCUUUCAGACGAGAUGGGAUCCGGCAAAGCAACGCUGAGAAGUACCGCCUGAACUCGAUCAAGAUAAUACUUGCGUGAGGAACGUGCUGCCGCUCUCCC